GUCCUUUUGACUUUAUUUAAGGUCUAACCUGCCCACUGAAUUUUAAAUGGCCGCAGUACACUAACUGUGCAAAGGUAGCAUAAUAAUUAGUCUUUUAAUUGAAGGCUGGAAUGAAUGGUUGGACGAGGUAUUAACUGUUUCAUUUAAAAUUAGAAUAAAACUUUAUUUUUCAGUCAAAAAGCUGAAAUUUGUUUAAAAGACGAGAAGACCCUAUAAAUCUUUACAUUUUAUAUAAAUUAAAAUUACAGAAGUUUUAAAGAAAUUUAUAAAAAAAUGUUUUAUUGGGGUGAUAUUAAAAUUUGUAAAACUUUUAAAAUUUAAACCAUAAAUUUAUGAAUAAAUGAUCCGUAUAAACGAUUAAUAAUUUAAGUUACUUUAGGGAUAACAGCGUAAUUUUUUUGGAGAGUUCUUAUCGAUAAAAAAGAUUGCGACCUCGAUGUUGGAUUAAGGUUUAAGUUUAGGUGUAGCCGUUUAAAUGUUAAGUCUGUUCGACUUUUAAAUC
rnacentral:rRNA from 1 species